GUAUCAGCUAAAUUGCGUUAGAGCAGUGCAACCACCCCCCUCCAUUCUGGAGAUUUCUUUUGCCACUUAGAUAGCUGUUUGAUCCUUACGAGUUACGACAUACUGUAAGGUAGCUCAUGUAUUACACUACUACAUUUGCCUCGUUAAGUUUCCCUCAGAAAAAAGACAUUAUAUAUAUAGCCUAUAAAUUUCCGAUCGAGGCUUGUUUGGUCCUAAAAGACCUGAAACACCAUUAUAACAAAGCACACUAAUUUUCAGCGUUACCAAGGAUAACAAACUACGAAAUAACAAAUCCAGUGUUUCAAAACUAAAGGUGAAACAGCACAAAGCGAGACGCACCUGGUCUUGAGGUCUCACACUGGGUGAGAACGAGGAGGAAUUGUGCUUAGGUGUAUCAACUAACAAUAAACAAAUCAUUGUAAACACAAGAAAAUCACAAGUUACUACUAAUAAACUCCCCCUUGGAGAAGACUUUCAUGUAGCACUUUUGUGAUGUUGAAAAUAACAAAGGACGUUAAACAGUUCAUGAAGAGUAGUAAGCAGGCUGACCCGAGGAUGUCGCGGGAGGCCAUGCAUUGGGAGGAGCCCCGUAAGGAGGCAUCGGCUGCGAAACUGCCGCAGUGGAUGGAAACUGGGAAAAAGGUGGCGGUGCAUAUGUUUGGCCAGGAGGGUACGAGCUUGUAGUCGCUCCAUAGGCUCCCCCCGGCAUGGUAGUAGGAUCCCAAGCCGGCAUUUGCCCAUUAGGGAUUGCCGAUGGAGCACCAGCGGCAAAUUCGUUGCCGCCAUACACUGACGCAGCCAGAGGAUCACUUUGCCAGCUGGUGGUAGGAACACCAGGCAAGCCUUGAGCUUGCGGAACUGAUAGUGUGCCCUGAGUCCGUAAUAGUGUAAUCUCAGCUUCUAUCGUUAUGUGCCUGAACAUAACAAGUAUCAACUCAGGAAUGAUAAGCGAAAAAUAGAUACUGAAUAGAAAAAAAAAAAAAAAAAAAAAGGUGUAAAGAAACAUACAUUAGGAGACAAUCAAUAGAUGGACAUGAAAGGCACGGUCGCUUAUUUUUUCUUGCUGACUUUUCAUGUUGUAUUCUUUUUCCUACAUUGUUUUUAUUUCUUUUGUUACCUUGACAACCCAAAACUAAUUAAUUUGUACCUUUACAAUCAGAUCGGUAUGACGAGAGUAUGUUAGGUGAAGCUUAAAAUAACCACCAUCAUAGAUCCUCCAAAGCUUCUUUAGCAACAGCCGCUGUCGUCAUAUCUGAAAUGGCAAAAAGAGGAGUGUUAAUUAGUCCCCCUGUACAACAGCCGCUGUCGUCUCUUAAGUGGAUUCAAGAAAAUGCAUCUGGAGGCAGUAAAUUUAUAUAUCUGGUCAUUUGGUAGAAGACUGAUUUGGCCAUGACACGAUUUAGUGGCAAAUUUUAGAUAUAACUACAAAACUGACAAACCAUGGAACUACAACAAGAAACUAACGGAUUAUGCAAAUCGUUCAACUUUCAGAACACGUGGCAGCACAAACUAAACAAAGAUCAGGAAUGGAUGGUUUAAAUAAAUCUGGCAAUAUGCACUAGGUACAAAGGUCCCAAAGCUGCAUUCAUAGUUUCUAUAAAUAUCAAUCCGGAUGAACACAUAUGGGCAUAACAGUCAUACCUUCAUUCUGCUAAUAUGUGAAUGAGACCACUAAACGGAGAAGACCAAAAACAACACAAAAGGUAUGGAAAGCUCCAAUGAAAGGCACUGUCAAGGCAUUAAGUUCCGUAUUAUGCAAGACCAAAACAACUCAAAAUGAAACCCAAUAAAUAAAUAUGCAGAUGUAAAAUGCAUGUACAGAAAAACAACCAAUAUUUUACAUCCACUCUUUCAUUUUGGCAUUGCACACAACCAAAAGGAUUCUGAAAAUCUAAAAGGCCAACUCCCAUAUAAAGAUGCAUGUUUACAAGUUGCCCAUGAAGAGAUCGAACAGAGGGAUUGAUAAGAUUAAAUUCAAUUUGGCAAGCAUGCACAUGCCAAGAUCAUAGACAUAGCAAAGGCAACUUCAUCGGAUAAAUUAUGUGCUUAGAUAUAAUUAUCGUCUAUAAGGUCUCUAUUCCAUCAACCUUAUCUCACUAAACCAAGGAAAAAAAGGAAGAAAAAAAAAUCUUGCGAUUUAAGGACAAUUUAUUCUAGUCAUUGAGUACAGGUUUACUAUUGUGUCUUAAACAAUAUCGUUGACUCGUAGUGAGUAUACAUACAAACAAACCAUGUAAUGCCCAAAACUGAUGUAAAUAACUGUCUUGAGCAUUGCGGCUUUUUCUGCUUGGCAAUAAAUACAGUGAUGCUACCUAAUGUAUCAACAAGAAAAAUCCCCUUGUGAGGGAGCAAGUACUUGUUUUUUCAGCUUUUGGAGUUGUUUCUCCAUUAUAAAACACAACAGCUAGAUUGUAUUGGGGUGGAAAGUUAAAAUCCAUUGAAACCUCUGCUUUUACCACAGCAGAAAGUGAUUAGAGCUGAUUUUAAUAAGCAAAUCAUUAUUGCUUUUUCACAUAGCUCUAUUUUUAGAAGUUCAAGUGUUCAACCAAGUUAGAUGGGACCUUUGUUGAGAAAGAAAUGAAUCUCUUACACUCUGUUUCUAAUGCUCGGCGCAGGAAAGCACACCCAAACCAGGCUCAGGCUUCUGAACUCCUCUUCCUCUCAUCACCUCUCUUAUAUGCAACAUAUCAUUCCAUCUUCCAGCUCCAGCAUACAUGUGCGAGAGAAGAACGUAGUCACUGCUGUGAUCAGGCUCCAACUCUCUGAGAUGCUCAAGAACUCGCUGGCCAAGUUCAAUGUUCCCGUGAACUCGGCACGCCCCCAACAACGUCCUCCACACCACCGCAUUCCCCUCCAUCGGCAUGCUCCUUACAAGCUCAUAUGCUUCUUGCAGAAGUCCGGCUUUUCCAAGAAGGUCGACCAUGCACCCAUAAUGCUUUAUGUUAGGAGUCACACCAUAGUCCCUCCUCAUCAUGUUGAAGUACAUCCGCCCUUCUUCCACAAGCCCUCCGUGGCUACAGCUGCAAAGAACUCCUAAGAACGUAAUGUCGUUCGGCUCUUGGAAUUCGCAUUCUUCAAGCAUCUUAUUAAAAAGCAAUAAUGCCUUGUUGACAUGCCCAUGCAGCGCAAGUCCUAGUAUCAUCGAGUUCCACGAGACGAUGUUCCUGCUCGCCAUGUUGUCAAACACUCGAAGCGCGCUUUCGAUGGCUCCACACUUUGCGUACAUAUCGAUUAAAGAGUUGGAAACAGAUACAGUUUGGUGGAUUGUGUUGGAAUGAACCCAUCUUCCAAAAUCCAGAGCGCCCAAUUCCGAACACGCCGAGAGAGUCACAACCAACGUAGCCUCAUCGGGAUUGAAACCAUCUCUCCUCAUCCUAAGAAACAUCCUCAACGCCUCCUUGUACUCGCCGCAGCUCACGUACACAUCAAUGAGUGUAUUCCACGAGACCAAGUCCCUACUAGUAAUUUCUUCAAACACCUGACUCGCAGCGCUAAUCUCCCUAAACAAUCCAUACAUAUGGAUCAGUGUGUUGCAAACAUAUACAUUCGACUCCAAUCCAUGCUUCACAAUGCAGCAAUGGAUCUGCCUACCCAAUUCAACGGCCGUCAUGUGCCCGCAAAUCUUGAGAAGGAAUGCGAAGGUGAAGUUAUCGGCGGCUUUACCGCGCUCUCGCAUUCUUUUAAAGAACAACAGCGCAUCCUCGUCUCUAUCGACUCUCCCCAAUCCUCUAAUCAUGGUGUUGUACAAGAACCCAUCCGGCCAAUUCAAUUGUUCGAACACGAGAGACGCGUAAUCCAUCGAUCCGUUCUCCGACACGCAGCAGAACGAGAUUAAUCUACCGAUCACGUACACGUGUUGAUCGAAACCGGCGGAGAUGAUCUGGGCGUGGAUCUGAGAGAGUUCUCUCAUGGUGGAGCACGAUUUGAACAAGGAAAUUAGAGUUUCCUCCCUGGAGUCGUGGGAGUUUUCGUUGAGGCAUUUCGUCGAACACGUUGGGGGAUGCUGGUGGAGGACGAAGGGAAGGGACGAUGAUAUGCCUCUGAGGAAUCUAAAGGAGAGCUUGUUGAAGGAGGUGGAGAGGAGCAUAACCUGGAGGAGUUGUAUGCUUUUAAGUGCUUUGGAUUCUAUCACGAUGCGUUGAAGGAGAUGAUGCCACACGAGGAGUCGAGGUAAUGCGUUCGAGUUUCGACCCUUCUCCCUUGCGUUUCCGCAUAAACAUAUCCGGUGCGGACAUUUGUUGACGCAGUUUUAAGCCACACCCGCAUAGCCAUUGAGGUCCGAAAUGGUCGGGCCCAUUUUACUUUUGAUGCAGCCCAAGAUGCAGCAGCCCAAAAUUAAUGAGAGUGAAAUGACGUUAACUUUUUGGGCUUUGGUUCCCUGAAAUUCCAGUUGUUUGGCAGGAAAAACGUAAAUAAAAAAAAUUUUUUUAAAAAAAACUCUUAUUAAUGCCAGUAGUGUUCUAUUGAAGUUAGCCUCAAAUCAAUGAAACUGUCAUUAUUGUGACAGUUCACACCACGGACUAAAGCUGCAGAGUUGCCACCACAAACAUAUUAAUUCAAUAAAAAAGACUUGUCUCGUAAAUCUGUUUCUAAUUUUACUCUUAGGUAAUGUAAAUUCAUAAUUUAGCUAAAAUAGUACUUUUAGAAGUAUUUAUUAUUCACUUGCUAUCACUUUUUUAUCUCUUUAAAUACUUAGGAUUUACUAUUUGGUGAUACUAUUAGUAUGAAUCUAAGGGGUGAAGAGUUAAAAGUAUAUCAAUAGUAUAUGUUUUUUUUAUAUAUUGUAGCUCAACUCUCCAAAUCCAGUCUUUCUUUAAGAGAAAAAUUGCAUAUUAUUUACUUCAUUCAUUUUUUUUAAGAAAUAAAUUUAGUUGAAGCUGUAAAGCAACUAAACUUCGAACUUAAGACCUCAAUACCAAUAAUUAAAUUCUUUAGCCCUUGUGUGGUCGGACUUUUUGUGAAUUAAUAAUGUAUUAUAUAGGGCAUGGGGUACUUUCUUAUCUUACACUGCGAUCAACUAUAAAGCACAUUUUGAUCUUCAUAUAUUCUUUCUGGGGCAAAGCAUUGCAAUUGAAAGAAAAGGACAACGAGAGAGGUGCCUUAAAAAGUGUGGCAAAAGCCUGAGGCACAUAAGGCUUCUACUAAAGAAAUUAGAUGAACAGUUUCUAGUGCAACAAUUAAUUACGGAGGUGUACAUUCCAUAUAUGCUCUCUUUUGUAUGUUUGUAUAUAGCAUUGACCCAAGUUUCUUUUUAGCAAUUCACCUUACACUCUGUGUUGAUUUAGUCUUUACUUUCUUCUGAGAUAAAGUGGUCCCCUGGUUCAGUUUCCAGUAAAAGAUCAACAUUAAGGGCGUGUUUGGUUUGAAGUCGGAGCUGGAAUCGCAAUCGGAAUCAAAAUAAGCUGGAAUCGGAAUCGGAAUGGCUCAUUAUCUAAUUCCGUUUGGUUCAUCAUCUGAAUCGGAAUCGGAAUAAAUCAUUCCCAUUGUUGGUGUUUGGUUCAGGUGGAUAUAAAAAACGUAAUCAAAUUAAUAUACGAACAUUAUCUUUAUAAUAUAUUAAUUUAAAUUCAAAUUAAAAAUUAAAUAUUAAAAAUUUACAUCAAAAUUUUUAAAUAAUAUCAAAUUUUUAAAUCUAUUUUUUUUAAAUAAAUUAAUCUUUGAAGUUGAGUGGAUAAUUCAAAAUAUGAAACUAAAAUUUUAUUUAUUCAAAUUCAAAUUUAAAAUUACAAUUUAAAUUUUAAUUUGAAUCCAUAAAUUUAAUUUAAGUUUGAAAUAAAAUUUGAAUAAACUUCAUAUAAAUUAAAAUUUAAUUUAAAUUCAAAUUCAUAAGUUAGAUUCAAAAUACUUGAUUAAAUUUUAAUUUUUAAUUUAAGUUCAAAUUAAAAUUUAAAAUUAUAUAUUUAAUUUUUAAAAUUUAACUUAUAUUUUAAUUUAAAAAGUUGAAAAAAUAAAUUUAAUCCGAAUAAAUAUCCAUUCCGUCCGAAUUCAACUUUCAAUCUGGCCUCCUAGGCCGGAUUGAAAAAAGGGGUGAUUGGGGCAAUCCCAUUCCACUCAGGAAUCGGAAUCGGAAUGGGACUCCCGCGUACCAAACACCCACAAAUGAAUUCACCCAUUCCGAUUCCGAUUCCAUGAUGAAAAAGAAGCGAACCAAACACGCCCUAACUUUCUAAUGGAAAGUUGAAUUCAUUUCAUGGCCCAUAUAUAUAAUCUCCUGUAUCAAGAUGAUUAGGUACAAUUUAUAAAAAGUUAACUUAUAUAAAACCCUCGUAUCAAUACUCGCUUUUUCACUUUUCUUUCAUGUCAUUCAAAAACUUACACUUUAUUUCUUUAAAAAAUAAAAAAUGUUCAGAAAAUAGUACGGUGUGACAAAAUGACUAAAUUACCCUCACCUUGUUUAUCUCCUCCUUUCCAAUCUUGCUCAUCCCGACGGCAGAGGAGGGCGAGGGCGUGUGUCUGAACAUGAACAGAGGGGUGGGUGAGGGCGAGGCGGUGGAUGAGGAUUUUAGGAAUAUUUUGGGUAUAAAAAAUAAGAUAUAAAUAAAACUUUAAUGGAACACUGACUACAGAGGCUGAACUGAAUAUUUUUUAUUUUUCAAGAGAGCAAAGUAUAGAUUUUUGAAUGACAUAAAAAUAAAGUUAAAAAAUGGGUAUUGACAAGAGGUUUUCUCUAAUUUAGCCUAUUGUUAAUACUAGUAGGCUAGGUUGUUUGGUAUUAGAGUUGAUAUGCUAGCUAGAAAUGAGAAAUGGAUCUCACAUUGCCUGAUGAACUAGAAAAUGACACGAAAAUUGCAUCUCACAUAAAGGAAUUAACAUUGAAAAUAUAAGAAUCGAGAAGUUUCUUUUUAGUUCUAGCAGGCUGGCUUGUUGCACCACCUUUGAGCCAAUGCUUCUGCAGUUAGUUCAAUGCUUAUAUUAGUUUGUAAUGGCAACUAUGCUAUGUGUUGAGGUUCACUAACAAUGGAAGAAUAACUAAAGCUAAAAAUUUUAGAAGAAACAGGGAUAAGCGCUUAUUAUUAUUAUCAUUUAAUCAAAUUUGUGUUAAGCAGUGGAUUUGAUUGCAUAUAUUUGUCACGGGCAUAUAUUUGAAGCCAAUUUGUUUGGCUUUUCUACUCUUAUCAUAAAAUUCUAUAUUAUAAGAUACGAACCGUACAUACUUUUCGUUUUUCCCGAUUGACCAAUAAGCCAAGCCAAUAUUGUUAUCUCCGAUAUAAAUCGUUAUAAUUUGAUUAUUAUUCUUCAGUCUAAAUUUUUCCAUAUUCAAUAAAUCCCGUAUCCUUUGAUUUAAAAUUAGAUCUAUUAAUAUUUUUUUUAGAUAUUUUGCGGCCAACUCACAAAUCAAAUGUGUAUGUAAUUUGUACAUAACUGAGCCGUCAAAGAGGAAUGCACGGACAAUAACUCCGCAACGUACAAUUGCAAAAGGAGGGUUAUCUUUUAGGAAGGAGAUAGACAAAGAGUAUUAAUAUACAUGGUGGUCCUUGGGACAUUGGGGUCCCAAGAUAGAUAUAUAACUCCGCUGGGCGAUGUUAUUACAGAUUUUACUUGAAGAUCUGGAUGAUGGUGUUGUGCCAUGGAUCAGAGAGGUGCUGCAGCAGGUUCUCAAAAGGCCCCUUUCCUGUCACAUUGUGCUGAACCACAAAGCCCAAGAACGCCAGCAUCGCCAAUCUCCCUGCGCAUCAUCACAAACACUUAUCCGACGAACAAAAAUCAUGUAACUACUAAUCAAAUGAAGGACACAAGUAAUUAAGUAAUUUUGGCACUUACCGUUGGCGAGCUCCUUCUCCUUGGCCUCGACGGUGGGGGCGAAGUUGAGGGGGUUGAAGAUGCUGCCAGGGUAUCCACAAUCGUGGGGCGGGAGGCUGUAGUUCUUGAAGAUGGGGUCCUGGUUGACGCUGCCGGGGUUCUUGAUGUCCUGCCACCGCCGGAUCUCGACGUAGUGGAAGAGGAUGAAUUCGAUGACGAAGAGGGUGGAGGACGAGGCGAAGUACUCGGCCUUUCCUGCAUCGUACCACUGCGGCGCGUUGAUGAGCCCGAUCUUGGUUAACACCUCAGGGGCCAGCAUCCCAACCACGCCGAGCAUCGCCCACCGGCUGUUCACCAGCUCCGCCUGCACGUACCAAUUGAGGUUCUCCGGGUCCUCUGCCAGGCCCAGCGGGUCGAAGCCGUUGUCUCCGGGGAGGCUGCUCAUCAUAUUCCGUCAAUUGUUACUAUUCGGAAUUCAUACUGCAAAUCACGUUAUUCUCAUAAGAUUUAUUUGUUUCUGCAAUUCUAUGCUCACCUGCCAUUGAGAUAAGCCGGCGAGGGGAGACCGGGGAGCCACUCGCCCUUGGCCUCCACCUUGAGGCCCCUCCAGCUAGUAGAGGUCGUUCCAUUCCUCGCCGCGAGCCCUCCCGCGAGCUUGCCCCGAGAACCGAGGAAUCUGGUCUUCGACGCGCACGGCCGGAGCACCGUGACCGAUGCCUGAGUUGCGACCGUUGCCAUCGUUCCGAUCGUUGCGCCGAAAGAUGGUUUCUUUCGGGCAGCGAGAGAGGGGCAGGUGGUGUGAAGCUGCGUUUGCCUCUUUACACUGCUUUGUACUGGACUGGAGAGGGAUGGUUGUGGUCGAGAUUCACGGUUGGCGAUGGACGGCCGAUAUUGCAUGGGUCAAGGGAACGGAGGGGUGGGAUUUGAUGGGGUGCGGGGGGCGCCAAUGGGAACGGUUGGUCCUUAUCCCGCCUUAUCGCAUUGCCGAACCCGAGAAUCAAACGAAGAAACGUUAUUGGAUGGCAAGAAGAUUUGUGGGCCCACUAUGUUGCCACGUCGGAUGGAUUAAUCUCCGUGUAGCACAAAGAGGAGAUACAUCGCGAAUCACGAGUCUCUGAUCCUGUUUCUUUCUGUGCAUUGGACUUGGCUAAGAAAAAUCACGAGUCUCUGGUCCUCGUUCGGAGUGUAUGCUCUAUGCAACUCGGUUCUCUUUUUAUUUUUCUUUUGGACAACGGGCUUUUGGGCUAGGAGGAGUACGGCUCGUGUUGCUCUUCGCUGUGGAGGAGAUAUGCAACGUGUCACGGCCUCAUGUUGCUAAGGCAAAGGAACGUGGGAUUUGGGGCUUACUACUAGCCCUUGAAAAAUUUUAAAACGUACAGGUCACAAAUCUUACAUGGUAAUCCCUCCAAAUUUACCCAUUCCAUCAUAUUUACAAAAAAAAAAAAUUAUAUAUAUUUUUUUUCAAUGAUAUGUUUAAUGGACUGUAUAAUAUUAAAUUGUUCGGUGUGACGCGCUUUUGUGCGUGAGGGACAAAAUGGGCCGUUCUCGUCAUUACUUGAAAAUCCACUCCUCCAAAAUUACCAUUAGUCCAGUAAUAAUUGAUCCUUUCACGAACGUCGAGACAUGGAAUUAUUUGAGUACCAAAGUCCAAUUGCUUGGACCAAUUACACGAAUCGAAAAUGUCACCACCAAAUGUUUAUUUAUAUGCCCAAUGAAAUUAAAGCAAGCGCACACACAUACACACACAGCUACAAACUAAGAUUGAUAAUUCUUCCUGCAGUUCGCAGUUGAUAAUUUUGCCGAGCGUCCGCCUGCAGUUUGCAGUUGACAAUUUUGCCAAGUAUCAGCUAAAUUGCGUUAGAGCAGUGCAACCACCCCCCUCCAUUCUGGAGAUUUCUUUUGCCACUUAGAUAGCUGUUUGAUCCUUACGAGUUACGACAUACUAUAAGGUAGCUCAUGUACUACACUACUAAAUUUGCCUCGGUAAGUUUCCCUCAGAAAAAAGACAUUAUAUACAUAGCCUAUAAAUUUCCGAUCGAGGCUUGUUU
rnacentral:lncRNA from 1 species